rnacentral:rRNA from 1 species
AUACGUAGGGGGCAAGCGUUGUCCGGAAUUAUUGGGCGUAAAGCGCGUGUAGGCGGCCAGGUAGGUCUGCUGUGAAAACUCGAGGCUCAACCUCGAGAUGUCGAUGGAAACCAUCUGGCUAGAGUCCGGAAGAGGAGAGUGGAAUUCCUGGUGUAGCGGUGAAAUGCGCAGAUAUCGGGAGGAACACCCGUGGCGAAAGCGGCUCUCUGGGACGGUACUGACGCUGAGACGCGAAAGCGUGGGGAGCGAACAGGA